rnacentral:rRNA from 1 species
GCGUGGGAAUGUGCCUUUUGGUUCGGAAUAGCCCCGGGAAACUGGGAGUAAUACCGGAUGUGCCCUUCGGGGAAAGAUUUAUCGCCAAAGAUCAGCCCGCGUUAGAUUAGCUAGUUGGUGAGGUAAUGGCUCACCAAGGCGACGAUCUAUAGCUGGUCUGAGAGGACGACCAGCCACACUGGGACUGAGACACGGCCCAGACUCCUACGGGAGGCAGCAGUGGGGAAUAUUGCACAAUGGGCGCAAGCCUGAUGCAGCCAUACCGCGUGUGUGAAGAAGGCUCUAGGGUCGUAAAGCACU